GAGGGGGGGUUUGUAGGGGGAAGAAAUUUGGCGUGACAAGCUCUUCACUACGAAUUCGGGGAUUUUAAAAAACAGAUGCAAUGGCCGCCGUGUUGCCGGCAAACAGGAGGGUAUCUGUUUGGAACCAGGAAGAGGGAGGUUCACAAUAAACGCGGCUCUUUCGAACCCAAGCAUCCACCGAGCGAUGACAUACAGCAGCUGUCAGGGAGAGUAGACUUUGCCUCAGUCAUCCUUGGACUCGGUGGCCUCUGCAGCUGCAUCUGCCGGGGUGUCAUCCUCUGCUUUAGACUCCUCUGCAGCAUCUGGAGAAAGAAAAGUAGGAAGUGAGGGAGUGGGACAGAAAAGAUGAAAGAAAAUGAUAAGCUAGCGCAAGACUUUUCACAUCACGGCCCAGAGUGAUAAAGCUCCUUUUGAACCACACACUCGGUUUUCGAUUAAACAUUUUUUUCCAAAACUAUCCCCCCAGUUUUCGUAUGCCGCGUAUCAUUUCGCAGAAUCAAGUCCGCAAGCAAAGAACCCCUUGUGUUGGCAACUCAAUCUUCCCUGCCCUCUCCUCUCCGCUCAUUGCAGUCUUCUCCAAAAAGAGUCUUCAAAAAUAGGUUACUGACAAACUGGAGCCUGUCCCAGUUUACUCAGGGUGAGAUGAGAAGAGGCUGAUCACAGAACUGACAAAGCAAGGGACAUUAGAGUCUUUUUGUACAGUCAUUAUAUUAGUCAUUUAAUAUAGAACCGUUUUUUCAGCACAGUAAAAAUGUUUACUUUUUUAAAACUUUUAAUUCCUGCGAGGCAUUUUGAUGCUGUAUCUUUUAUUUAAUCCUGUUUUAUUCAUAUAAGCCCAAUACUUAUUUUUUCUGGAAAAUAAUAAUAAACCGUACAUUGUAAUUGAUGCAUAUCUUGAAACCACUACCUUUUUGUCAGUGUAUGUCGUAAAACAAGCAGCUUUUCCUUUAGUAGCUUACGAUUUUGGGUAGUUGUUUUUUUUUCAUAAAUAUUGCCAAUGUGGUCCUAAAUUUAAAGAAGGAAUAUGUCUAGGGUAAACUGGGUAUAACACAUGGCACACUGACAAAGCUUAACCUAUUGUUACUAUAACAAUCUACAAGGUUAAGGUUGCUUCUCUUUCUUCCCCUCCAUUUUUCUGCAUUCUUUCGUAUCUCAAGUUAUCAUUACGUAUAUGUAUCGUUGCAUUUGAACAAUUGUAUUGUUGAUAAUAAAGGUAAAGUACUGGUAUUGUUUAUUAUCAAUAGCACUAUUUCUAUUGGUAUUCACAUUGCUCCAUUUUUAGUGUAAUAAUGCUCAUUGUCAUUUCUGUAUUUUUUUUUUUUAAAUUUUCGCUAACUGCUUAUUUGCUAUUACUUUUACCAUCAUAUUUGUACAUGUCGUAUUUGCUGAUGUUGCUCUGUUGUUGUUGUUGUUGUUGUUGUUGUGUUUGCUGUUGUUGUUUUUGUCUCUCUGUCUAAUCCCCCUCUUGUCCCCACAAUUCCCCCCUCUGUCUUCCUUUUUCUCUCUUUCUAUCCCCUCCUGCUCCGGCCCGGCUGCACCAAAUGAUAAUAUAAAUACAUUUAAUAAAGUCAAAAUACAAGUAAGGCAACAAGAGAAGUAUCCUACACUUCUCUUUUGUAAAGUAAAUCUGAACAGCCGAUAUGGGCAUCUACAUCUGCUAUAUGAUUUGCCCGAGAAGCUGGGCAGGACAUUAUAAAAAAAAAAAAAAAAAAAAAAAAAAAAAAAAAGAAGGAAUAUGUUCAUGUUGGUCAAAGUCGUACAGUUAUAACCCUAUAUAUAACAGCCACACUCUUGAAAGGAUUUACUGCAUCCAUCCAUCCAUUUUUCUACCAGAUAGACAGACAACAAUCACACACUAGGGACC